CUUCUCUUCUCUCCUAUCUGUGUUUCCUCUCUCACUUCUCUUCUCUUCUCUGUUUCCUAUCUUGGUGGAUCCAAGCAAGAGCAGCUGGUGCCCGGUGGCCUAGGUGGCCUAGGGGUGCACGGCGUGGAGGCUUGCGGUGGCGCAACAGCCGGUGCACAGGGCCCAUGGUCGGCGGGGCGCACGGCGGCUGGCGCAUGAGGCUUGGGCGCACGGUGUAGAGAGCCAUGGCAAGGAGCUUGCAAGGAGCCAGUAGUACUUGUACAUGGGGGCGUGGCAUGCGACGGCCAGCGCUCGGGGCUCAUGGUGGGCGGCGUGGCACACGGGCGCCCACGGCGGCGGGCGCUGCGGUUGGAGCACGGGGCUCACGGUGGCCGACGCGGCGCACGAUUUUGUUUCCCUUUUUUGAUUUUUUAUUUCUUUUUUUUGUUUUUUAAUCUAUUACCAGGGCAUCACCUGCCUUUGGAAAACAGUUUGCAGGGACGGAUCAUGGCGUCACCCGCCCCUGAAGAUACAAUUUCCAGGGACGGGUGAUGGCAUCACCCGCCCCUGGAAACGGUUUUACAGGUUGGGCCAGUUACCUCCUGCAAAUAGUUAUUUGUAGCUGCGAAAGCUAGAAGCGGGUAGCGCGCUCGCCCUUGCAAAUGCCGUUUCAACCGCAUCUGGAAACCGUUUUUUAUAGCGACCCUUUACGCCCUUCCAUUUUGCAUGAAGGCUUUAUUCAAAUCUCAAGCUAAAUUCACAGUUACAUUUGAC